AUACUUACCUGGACGGGAUCUAUGGGUGAUCAAGAUGGCCUAUGACCUAGCCCAAUGACCUCCAUUGCACUUCGGAGGGGUAUUGGUCUACCAUCUCCCCAAGUUGGGAGAGUGGACGUCAUAAUUUGUUGUAGUAGGGGUAUGCGUUCGCGCGACCCCUUU